CUGGGUGUAGCGCAGUUGGUAGCGCACGUGACCUGGGCUCACGGGGCCGGGGGUUCGAAUCCCUCCACUCAGACCA
rnacentral:tRNA from 1 species